rnacentral:rRNA from 1 species
AACGAACGCUGGCGGCAUGCCUAACACAUGCAAGUCGAACGAGACCUUCGGGUCUAGUGGCGCACGGGUGCGUAACGCGUGGGAACCUGCCCUUAGGUUCGGAAUAACUCCCCGGAAGGGGUGCUAAUACCGGAUAAUGUCUUCGGACCAAAGAUUUAUCGCCUUUGGAUGGGCCCGCGUUGGAUUAGCUAGUUGGUAGGGUAAAAGCCUACAAAGGCGACGAUCCAUAGCUGGUCUGAGAGGAUGAUCAGCCACACUGGGACUGAGACACGGCCCAGACUCCUACGGGAGGCAGCAGUGGGGAAUAUUGGACAAUGGGCGAAAGCCUGAUCCAGCAAUGCCGCGUGAGUGAUGAAGGCCUUAGGGUUGUAAAGCUCUUUUACCCGGGAUGAUAAUGACAGUACCGGGAGAAUAAGCGCCGGCUAACUCCGUG